rnacentral:rRNA from 1 species
UACGUAGGUGGCGAGCGUUGUUCGGAUUUAUUGGGCGUAAAGGGUCCGCAGGGGGUUGAUUAAGUCUGACGUGAAAUCCCUGAGCUCAACUCAGGAAUGGCGUUGGAGACUGGUUGACUGGAGUAUUGGAGAGGUAAUUGGAAUUCCAGGUGUAGCGGUGGAAUGCGUAGAUAUCUGGAAGAACAUCGAAAGCGAAGGCAGAUUACUGGACAAUAACUGACCCUCAGGGACGAAAGCAUGGGGAGCAAACAGG